rnacentral:rRNA from 1 species
CCUACGGGAGGCAGCAGUGAGGAAUAUUGGUCAAUGGGCGAGCGCCUGAACCAGCCAAGUCGCAUGAAGGAUGAAGGAUCUAUGGUUUGUAAACUUCUUUUAUAUGGGAAUAAAGUGAGGAACGUGUUCCUUUUUGUAUGUACCAUAUGAAUAAGCAUCGGCUAACUCCGUGCCAGCAGACGCGGUAAUACGGAGGAUGCGAGCGUUAUACGGAUUUAUUGUGUUUAAAGGUGGGUUCGGUGGUUAAUUAAUUAAGCGGUGAAAGGUUGUGGCUUAACCAUAAAAUUGGCGUUGAAAAGGGUUGACUUGAGUAUAUUUGAGGUAGGCGGAAUGCGUGGUGUAGCGGUGAAAUGCAUCGAUAUCACGCAGAAAUCCGAUUGCGAAGGCAGCUUACUAAACUAUAACUGACACUGAAGCACUAA